GACGAACGCUGGCGGCGUGCUUAACACAUGCAAGUCGAACGGAAAGGCCCUGCUUUUGUGGGGUGCUCGAGUGGCGAACGGGUGAGUAACACGUGAGUAACCUGCCCUUGACUUUGGGAUAACUUCAGGAAACUGGGGCUAAUACCGGAUAGGAGCUCCUGCUGCAUGGUGGGGGUUGGAAAGUUUCGGCGGUUGGGGAUGGACUCGCGGCUUAUCAGCUUGUUGGUGGGGUAGUGGCUUACCAAGGCUUUGACGGGUAGCCGGCCUGAGAGGGUGACCGGCCACAUGGGGACUGAGAUACGGCCCAGACUCCUACGGGAGGCAGUGGUGGGGAAUAUUGCACAAUGGGGGGACGCGUGAUGCAGCAACGCCGCGUGCGGGAUGACGGCCUUCGAGUUGUAAACCGCUUUCGCCUGUGACGAAGCGUGAGUGACGGUAAUGGGUAAGGAAGCACCGGCUAACUACGUG
rnacentral:rRNA from 1 species